ACGCGCGAGCCCAGGCCCGCAGCCGGAAGUUGGGGGGCGGGACCGGGCCCUGAUGUCACGUCCGGGAGUGUGGGGUCAGGCCCGGGGAUGUCGCACCCGCGAGGUUUGGCGGCUGCGCCGGCUGUCCGAGUCUUCGUCGUCCAGCGCGGGAGCGGCCUCGGUGACACCUGGCUCUCAUUCCGUACCGAGCGACUCGAGCGAGCGCCUGGAACUGGGGGAGGAGGCCUGGCCCGCCGCCCACCUGCCCCGCCGCCGCCGCCCCUUGGGAGGCCGACGCGGUGGGGGCGCGAGUCGUGAGCCAGCGCCGGCCUCUCCUGGGCCUCGGCUCCCAGAAAGGCGGGAGGUCAGCGCAGGUACGCGGAAGCGUGCAGGCUGGACCGCCCGCGGCCGCAGAAGGCAGAAGGUAGAGUCCCCCGCCUCUCCGCAGCCCCAGUGGUGGCCGCUGUUCCCUGUUCUCUUGGAGCCUUGCGGGGAUGUUCCUAGGCACGUCUAGAAACGACUCUUUCUUUUUCUUCUUCAUGGAUGAUGGGUUUAAACUUAAUCCUUUUUUUUUUUUUUUUAAACAAAUCGUAGCCUCGUAGACCCAUUCUUUGUUCUGCACGUUGCCUUUCCCUCCGAAUGCUUAUUUCUUGGAGGUUGUCUGUGCCGCUACCUCAUGCCCUGCCUCAUUUUAAAAAACUGCCCAUGUGAAUAAACAGUUUAUUUAGGAGGUUUUGGUGAACGUGCGGGAUGGUUUUAGUCUUUUUGCAACCAGCUUUGGGCAUUUUUGAGAGAUGAAAGAAUGGGAGUAGGGGGCUUUCCAUGUCUGUUGCUUCCGAAAAAACCCUCCUUCCAUAUUGCAAAGCUGGAAGAAGGCAUGUUCUGCUGCUGGUCCCUCAUAGUGACUUUGUCCGUCAUCAGCUUGUAGAGGAAAUGUUCUUAAAUCACGGAUACCCACUCGUAUUUGUCUAUUCUAGAAUGUUGUGUAAGAUGGAAUUCGUUUUAGCACAGUAUUAGGAGUUGUUACGUUAGGCCUCGUGUAUCAGCGUUUUCUGGUAUUCUGAGAGGAGCAUUAGGGAUGUCACAUGUGUCGUUUGAAUUCAAGUUUGCGAGCCAGAUUUCUAGACCAAAGGAAAGGCAUGAAUUCAGGUACAGGAGCAGAGUGAUGUUUGCAGGUGGUAUUAAGAGGCUGGAGAAGGGCCGUGCAGAGGGGAGGGAUGGGAGAUGGGGCUAGAAUGGUGGGUUAGGGAACUAAUGCAUUUCCAAGGCUGAGGGCUUGUCUGUACCUUGGAGAAAACUAUACAUACAAGAUUGUUGAAUUGCCGGAUUGUGAUUUAAAAAAUGAUUCACGGGGGCACCUGGGUGGCUCAGUCCGUUAAGCAUCCGACUUUGGCCCAGGUCAUGAUCUCAUGGUUGGUGAUUCUAGCCCGAAGUCGGGUUCUGUACUGACAGCUCAGAGCCUAGAGCCUGCUUCAGAUUUUGUGCCUCCCUGUUUCUCUGCCCCUCCCCCAGUUAUGCUCGGUCUCUCUCUCUCUCUCUCAAAUAAACAUUUUAAAAGAUUGACAGAGAUCAGAAGGGAGCUCAUGUUAUUUCACCACCUUUUAGGAAUACUAAAUGGUCUGUCUGUGUUUGAUAAUAGCUUUAAUAAAAUCAGAUAAACAGAAAAGAUGAAACUUCUCUGUCUGGUUUACUUAUUUGCAUUUCUAAUGAUAAUUCAGAGAAGGCUGUAUUUGCAACCAACAUGACAGAAUCUUAAUUGGGAAACAAAAUUAAAUCUCCUUUCAAGGAAGGAUAAAAAAUUCUGGGAUAUUCAUAAUAUAAAAUGUUGGUCGGCAAUAGGGAAUAAACUGCUGAUACACACAACAUGAUUCAUCUCUAAAACAUGAUGUUGCUUCUAAGAAGACAGUUGAGGGCCUCGUGAUUUCCAUUUAUGUGGAGUUCAAAACCAGGCAAAACUAACACGGCAGAACAGUGAUCCCCCUUGGCAGGAGGAACGAACUGGAAGGGGGCUGAAAGGAACUUCAGUGAUGGAAAUGUUCUCUGUGUUGAUGUGGGUGUCUACAUAAUUGUAUAGACUGGACAAACUCAUUGUAAAGUUGAACAUAUUCCACUGUAUACACAUUUUACCUUAAUAAAAAAUUCCUCUUGUACACAA